GUGCCCUACCUUAGUUAAGUGACUACAUCUAAACAUCAUACUGGCAAUAGACAUCAUGCAUUCAGCCCAAUGACCAAAGAGGUCGCUUUGCUAUUCAGCCUUGUCU